UCCAUCGUGAGGUGGAGUCUGAAGGAAGCCUAAUGCAAACUCUCGGUCUGACGAACAGAAAUCACAUACAAGGCAUAUGUGGGGCGGACGAGUGUGCCAUACAACACAAAGUCCAAUACCACACGAACCCUACGGUGAUGAGAGGAGAGUUACCGUU
rfam:Natranaerobius trueperi strain DSM 18760 ZB100051, whole genome shotgun sequence.